GUCUACGGCCACACCACCCUGAACGCGCCCGAUCUUGUAAGCUAAGCAGGGUCGGGCCUGGUUAGUACUUGGAUGGGAGAUGUGCAUUUGCUUGGUAACAAGAAAAUCGUGUGUG
rnacentral:rRNA from 1 species